UACGUAGGGAGCGAGCGUUGUCAGGAAUUACUGGGUGUAAAGGGAGCGUAGGCGGGACUGCAAGUUGGGUGUCAAAUCUACCGGCUCAACCGGUAGCCGCACUCAAAACUGCAGUUCUUGAGUGAAGUAGAGGCAGGCGGAAUUCCUAGUGUAGCGGUGAAAUGCGUAGAUAUUAGGAGGAACACCAGUGGCGAAGGCGGCCUGCUGGGCUUUUACUGACGCUGAGGCUCGAAAGUGUGGGGAGCAAACAGG
rnacentral:rRNA from 1 species